rnacentral:lncRNA from 1 species
AAAUAAAUAAAAUCUUUAAAAAAAUAAUAAUUUUAAAAAAAGAGUCCUUUAAAAACAAAUUUACUUCAAGCCAGGUGUGAUAGCACACACUUUUAACCCCAGUACUCCAGGGACAGUGAUUUGCUGAGAAGCAUUUGAAGAACACAUCUCCAUAAACAGUUACUAUCAAAUCCAUUUAUAUAGGAAUGUGCUAAGGUCCAGAGAUCUUAAAUAGCAGGCCUAUGUUUACAUAGCCAGGAAUGGCAGGACCUAUUUUGGUGUCUCCUGGAGGAAACAAACCUUGGUAUGAAUAAAGAAAAGAUGUCUGCAGAGGAGAACCAGGAAGGAUAAUAAUUAGUGUUUGGAAAUAUUUUAUUUAGUGACAAUAUUGCAACUUCCUAGUUUUAUGGUUUAGACAGCACUUUCCAGGACUUUGAUAUAUGAACUGUCAUAACUCUAGCCCCAGUCUGAACCCCAGAAUUGUAUUCCAAUCCCACAUGAAGCUACAAGCCCACAAAGAUAGACGGUUUUGCUCCUGUCCAUGCCCCAUCCCAUUCCACCUGUGCUCAGAAAGAUGCCUAGAGCUUCUUUCCCAAGCUUGGAGAAUUA